CAAGUCGAACGAGAUCUUCGGAUCUAGUGGCGGACGGGUUAGUAACGCGUGGGAACGUACCCUUCACUACGGAAUAGUCCCGGGAAACUGGGUUUAAUACCGUAUACGCCCUUCGGGGGAAAGAAUUUCGGUGAGGGAUCGGCCCGCGUUAGAUUAGUUAGUUGGUGGGGUAAUGGCCUACCAAGACUACGAUCUAUAGCUGGUUUGAGAGGAUGAUCAGCAACACUGGGACUGAGACACGGCCCAGACUCCUACGGGAGGCAGCAGUGGGGAAUCUUAGACAAUGGGGGCAACCCUGAUCUAGCGAUGCCGCGUGAGUGAUGAAGGCCUUAGGGUCGUAAAGCUCUUUCGCCUGUGAUGAUAAUGACAGUAGCAGGUAAAGAAACCCCGGCUAACUCCGUGCCAGC
rnacentral:rRNA from 1 species